UGAGGACUUGCCAGGAAAAAUGGACAUUUUCCUCUCCCCCUAAAAAAAGAUAAAACUCCUUCCUGGUUAUUAAGUGAAAUGCUCAUCGAGCUUUGUCCUAAAGAAGAUCAGCCGUGGACAAGAACCUUGUGAAAUGUUCCCCAUUUGAGACCCUAAAACUAAUGACAGUCACAGCUUUUGGGUGGUCCUCUAUGAAUGGAGUGAAUUACAAUAUUUGAGGAGUCUUCCUUACCUCAUCUCUGAAGGCAGAGAUAUCCCAUAGCCUCAGGGCCCUGGCUUUCUGUAGAGCCGCUGACGAAGUCCCCCUGAGCCAGAGCUGAGUCCCUGCUGCGUCCAACAGCCUCGGGUUCUUGCAUUCUUUCCCGUCCAGCGUCUUGCAUUGACCCUGGGCGUCCCCAGCGCGGGCCCGUUCACGUCUCACCAUUCGUAUCUCAGCAUCAGCGUUCACACUGUAAGUAACGCCCUGGCUCUUCUCCAACCUGUUU